rnacentral:rRNA from 1 species
UACGUAGGGUGCAAGCGUUAAUCGGAAUUACUGGGCGUAAAGCGUGCGCAGGCGGUUUUGUAAGUCUGUCGUGAAAUCCCCGGGCUCAACCUGGGAAUUGCGAUGGAGACUGCAAGGCUAGAAUCUGGCAGAGGGGGGUAGAAUUCCACGUGUAGCAGUGAAAUGCGUAGAGAUGUGGAGGAACACCGAUAGUGAAGACAGCUCACUAAGCUCAAACUGACGCUGAGGCACGAAAGUGUGGGGAUCAAACAGG